AUACCACCUAAUUUGCACAUGCGCAAAAAAGAAAUCAACAAAAAACGGACUUGUGUGCAUGCUAAAAACACUAGCAUAGUGCUUAAUCUUUUUUAAAUCAUUAUUUGUUGUGUUACAUCGCACACUCUACUUUACAAUAUUUUACAUUCCCAGCCUGAGCUAAUCAACAGGAUAAACUGACCCGGGUUUCCAAGUUUUACAGGCUCAGUUUUGAGGGUAUUAUACUUCGAGACACGACACACCGCGCAUAUUUCCGAGGUUACGUUAGGAAGCAGAUACUGCACAAACAUAUACAAUGGAUGUGCGACUCGAUACUCUGUAUGCAGUUGCCGUUUUAAUACAUUGCUCAUCGUCCACUACAGAAGUUCCACCUGCGACUACAGUUCAAUCUAUGACAACAGUUCAAGCUAUGACUACAGUUCAAGCUGCGACUACAGUUCAAGCUAUGACCACAGUUCAAGCUAUGACCACAGUUCCACCUACUACUUCUGUUUCCAAACCUCCAGAGCAUAAGGUCACGGACUAUGGCAUUAUUUUAGCAGUAGUAGCCUUUGCGAUCAUUACGCUGAUUGUUGCUGGUCUUACAGCGUGGCUCGUUUAUAGCAGGUAUUUUUUCUUUAAUCUGUGGGGCGGGAUUUAGUUCAGUCGGUUGAAUGCUCCAUUGAGGUGCUUGCGUCGCAGGAUCGAACCACCGCGGUGGAUCCUUUCAACUGACUGGAGAAUUUUUUUCUCGUUCCAGCCAGUGCACCACAACUGCUCGAAGACCGUGGUAUGU